GGGUUAGGUGAGAGUUGUUUCUGGUACCUACUGGGGGUAGGGAAUUCAAUUUGAAUUUGGAUUAAAGGUUUUAGGGUUUAUACAUAGGUCUAUGUGUAAUUUGUGAGUUAGUUGGAGAACGGAUGGGUUUGGUCGCAAAUCGGCAGGUAAAUCGGAUGAAACGAAAUCGUAGGUUUAUUGUUCGCGUCGUACUGAAUGCGAUGGCUCAAUCCGUUCGGAAUUCUGAUGAACGGAUUGCCGGAUAUCGCACGAUGUUCGAAAAGGGGUCUAAUGUGACUAAUUGGAAUUUUCGCAAAAGUCCCCAUAUUUUAUGUACCGAAUCGCGUGAAAUCAGACGUGGAGGUGCGUACGUGUAAAAUACUCGCACUGUGAAGGACUGAAUUUCUAAUAAUCAGUUUAGUAGGACUUGUGUGCAAAAUUAACAAUCAUACACAGGCUUUCUAGGCUAGGGUUUCAUCAUGGAAAACCCUAACCGUGGUUUACCUUCUCCCUCAGCCGACCUCCCUGCGACACCUCUGCACCUUUUCCCUAGCCGUGCGCGCAUCACGGUCGCCGGCACGUGCUCCGGCCGCCGGAAAACACCUUCACCAUCACCUUCUUCACCUAUCCUCCAUCCUCCUCGGCCUUCUGACCUCGGGAAGCCACCCCGUGAGUCGGGCCUGCGCUCUCUGGCACAGACUUCCCCUCCGGUGUCACCCUCGCUGGCCCCCGUCGUCGGCGCGCGCCGCCGACGCCGCCGGAGCCACCUUGCUCCCUGCGGCCAACCCGCAGUCACCCAGGCCGAGCCUGGGUGAUCUCUGCCUCCGCGCAUCGCCGCUGCCUAGCCUCGGUCCCGCCGCCCUCAUCUGGCCUCUGGCGUGCCCCCGCGCGCCAUCGUCGCCGCUCCCGACGCCGCCGGCCGCCGCUCUCCCUCCCAGCGGCCGCCCAGACCUGAAGCGGGCCGAGAUCUUGUCUUCUCGACCACCGCGCGUCGCCGCCACCCGCACCAAGGCGCGCCGACCUUCCUCGACCUCCGGCGACGUGCCGCCGUCGUCCCGACCUUCCUCCGGCCGCCGCCAUGUCCGCCGCUACCCUUGGAGCCCGUGGUGAACCCGUGCAGGCUCGGUUUGGUCCAGCACCGCCGAACGGCAUGAGCACGGGUCCCGGAUGGUCGGCCGCACUCGUCCGCCGUCGUCGCCCGCGCCGCCGGAGCUCCCCGUCGGCCGAAACGAGCCCGUGUUCUCUUCGGGUUGGGAUGCCUAGGGCAUCAUUGGCCGUCGUCGCCGCCGCCUCCCGUCGCCUGCGGACGCCAGCCCUGGCCACCUCGGACCUUCCGCACCAACCCCUGGCCGGCCUGCCCGUCGUCCGGUCGCCGCCGGCCACCCCGUGCCCUGCUAGCUCCGGUAAGCUUAGUUUAGUUUUCUGCACCUUGUCUUAGGGUUCCGGUCACUGUUCGUGUGAACCGAGGCCACCCCGAGUCUUCCGAAGGUGAGCACGAUGAUCCUGGUUCAGUGCUGAUCAUCGUGGCCACCUUCAUUGGAGCCUGAGAGCCUCUGAUUUGCGAGAUAAGCAUGUUUUUCAUGCUGUGCGCGCAGUCUGCUGAAGUUCGUCUCGCUCCCGCGCUCGCCACAGUGGCCGGCCAUGCUCCGAAGUGUGAGCACGGCCUCCGAUAUGUCGAUACCUAUCAGUGAGAGUCUCGGCUCAACUCGAGUGUCCUCGGUUUGCGCUAUCGGACCGUAAAGUCCCGUAAAUAGCAUGAAAUAAUAUAAUUUUACGUAUUAUAGGGGACUUUUGUGCAAUUGUACACUUCGUGGCUGCUAUGGUAGGUGUGUAAGGACAGCGGGUGUCCUCUGGACUAGUUGUCCAAGGCCCCAAGUUUUACAGAAGUCAAAUGUUGAUUUCCGACGCGUUUUUCGGCGAAAUCCGCCUACGGAACGCGAGUUUGGUUCGGAAUUAAUCCGACGGAGCUUCGUGAUGGAUUGUUUAGUCGCUGAGCCUAGUUGGCUGGUCACCCGUGUCAUUUCGAGGUUUCGGAAAUGACGGGUGAGCGACGGGGGAGUUCCGGUGCGGUUUUCGGGACUUCGGGUUUGUUCGGUAAUCGGUUUUGGGAAACCGGUUCCCGUGGUUUUGGUGAGUGGGGAUUGUGAGUUAGCGUUACAUGUCAGUGGGUUAGAUCUUAACCCGUUGGACCUUUCGUAGGCUCGGUUGCACCGUCUUUAUAGUCGAGAGAUCUUCGUCAGACACGUACAGGUGGGUACUUCGAUCCGACGUUGGUACAGUGGUGCCGCUCGGUGAUGGUUUCUUACCCUUACUCUUUUGUUAUUAUCCAUGCAUAUGUUAUAUGUUGAGCUUUGCACCUCUAUUGUUUACAUUACACCCACGUUGUUUGAUUAUACUCUACUCAGACGUUUCCAUGCUUAGUAUCAUGUGUAGGAGUAUAGUCUAUCAGUGUGUGAUACCAUGUUUCCUUGUUGCUCUACUUAGCUAUUCUGCAUACCCUGUUUCAUGUUUAUAGUAGAGCGAUUUCGUGAUUAUCUGUGAGAUCAGCGAUCUAGUCGGUCGAUUCUAGUAUUUAGUAUUUGUGACCUGUUCGGUGAGUUCCUCGACCCUUGUUGUCUGAUGACCGUUGAGGUCGGUAUACCCUGAGGGGUGGGAUUGUCGGUUAGUUGCCGACGGAUGAUUAUACUUUAACUUAUAUCACUAUUUGACAUGUUUGUGACCACAGUCGGUCAGUGCAUCAUAUCCUAUACUUGUGACAUGAUUGGUCGAGUUUAUAUCCUAUACUUGUGACAUGAUUGGUCGAGUUUCAUAUGCCUAGUUAAUCUGAGUGGUAGUCCUUGUGUUCAUUGAGCAGUUUUGCAUAUGUUUGAGAGGAUGUCGAUGUUGUCCCAUCCUAUUGACCUGAGUGGUCGGUUCUUGUGCUUCCUUACACGUUGAUGACCUAUACGGUCGAUGGGGCCGCUGGGGGCAGGAUUGUCGGCUGUUUGCCGACGGUUGAUCAUUUAGCAUUUUGCAUUGAUCGCGCCGAUACUCGUCGCAUUUCAUGAACACUGGCGGUCUGAUCCACGCACAGGAGUGGUCUUUUCGGAAAGUGUUUGCAUGUGACAACCGUGAGCCCUAGAGGGUUAUAUUGCACUGAGAGUAGUGGUGGCAUUGGCUUGAGAGGUCUGCGGUGCUGACCAAGAGAGCAUUAGUUUCAGAUUGGGUAACUUUAGAACUUCUUGACGCGGUUGACGCAUAUGUCUAUAGUAGCAGUCGUUGCAUGCAUUUUUACGCUGUUCAUACUUUAUAGUUGUCUGCUACAUAGUAGAUAUUCAUGUAUGCUUUCUGUUUCCAGUUACAGUAACAGUACCGUUAUUCCAGUCUAGUUCUUACUUUCUUUCAGUUUAUUGCUACUUAUUCGGAAUAUCUGCCCAUUACUUACAUAUCUCUUUCAUUUAUUAUUGUUCACUAUAUUCCAGCUGACACCGUGUGUGUGUUAUAUGCUCUUCCUGAUCCGGUGAGUACUCCUCGCCUUCUUCGGCUUGCGGUACCCGCUGGGAGGGGAGACAUGUUUACAUGUUCUCACCUCCCCCACUAUUUUUCAGGUAUCGUGGGCGGUGAGGGUUGAGACGAGACAUGAGAUACGUAGUGAUCGAUAGAGCUUCCGACUCAGGUUAUUUUCGUUUAGUUAUUACCCCUAUUAUUUCUGUUGAUGUAUAGUUUAGUUGGUUUAUGUGGUUCAGUAUUUCAUUACGUUAAAAUAAAAGGAUUUCUGAAUUUUGUAAAAUAAAAGGUUUUCUACCCCUCCUGGUAGCGUUUUUAAAAGACAAAAGUUCCUGUGUAGGGAACAGUUUUCAAAAGAUUUUAUGUGAAUUUUGCAUCUUAGUAUUUCAAAACCUGUUUCUAUGGUUGGAAGCAUUUUAACUGAUAGAUGUGAAAGUAUGUUUAAAUAUUGAAUGUAUAAAUGUAAACCUGUGAUGUGAAUGGUGUAUAAAUAUAUAAUUGUUGGUUAUUUGUAUGUUCAUUUGGUUGUGGUUGUACCUGGGUUGCUUUUUGUACUUGUGCGACGCCGUGCAAAUACAGGGGAGACUCUGUCCGUGUGCACAGUGGAUUUCCCGUAUUUGUGGCGGAUCUGGCAUACUCUGGGGUCAGGGUUUUCAAAAAAAAAAAAUUCAGACGCCUUUUCGCUAUGUUUUAAACUAAAAGGGACCCCAGGGCGUGACAGAUUAAAGUGGUAUCAGAGCGAGGUUACAACCACAACACCAUUCACAAGUUGUUUUGAAAAGUAAAUGAAACUGAACCAUUGGUUAGGUUGACCCUUAGGAAGACCUACGGUGUAUAGGCACGUGAGAGCGGGGUUAGGGCUUGUGUCCCCGUGUGCAUUCGAGUUGGGUAAACUCCGAGUGCAUGGUGUUUCUGUAUGUGUUACGGUUCGCACAAGCUGGUGUCUAAGUUGGGAGUAGUGGUGGUGUACUUUUUCGGAUAUCGAGUGGUGGAACGAUAUUCCCCACAUGUUGCCACUCCUGUCAGGUGGGGCCUUGAUAGGCCAAGUGAGAUUUUCGGGUCUAGGCGAGUGUCAUAACUGUCGGCGCCCAGGCCACUCUCUCUACUUAGGGCACGAAAGCUAUUGCGAGUGUCUCUACGGAGACGGUACUUAGACCAGCUACGGUCGCGACUUCAGUGGGGCUACUUGGGUGUAGCCUAGGGUUUGGAUAGCGGUCAUUUCGGCGACUGCAUUGUAAGUGUUGCUUUCGCAGAUCUUUGGGUAGGGUUGUGAUGCCUACCUAUCCUCCUUGAUUGCUGAUUGGAAUCAGCGGUUCGGAUCUUUUGACAUUUUCCUCGUUCAUUUUUCCUAUUAGAGUCGAAUUGACACAGUUUUGGUGUCAAGUUUCGUUGAGGCAUACAUCGUAUGCGAUUGUUCUAACACCUAAAUUGGUGUCAGGGGAUAGUAGUUGGUCAUAGGUUUCAUCUUGAUUCGAAAGACUCCAGGUUAUUGUCGGAUUCUCGAAGCUUCGAUUAUAGCUCGGUUGAGGUGCAAAAAUCGGUUAGAGAAACCGUUUUCAAAAGCCUCAGUUAGUAUGGUUCGCGACUUAGUGUCGCUAACAUCUUUCGGAUGUUGAAAAUUAUAGGACUCCCUUUGAGUCGGUUCAGGGUCGUUCUGAUUUCGAAUGUCGACUUGUAAAAUCGAUGUAAUGGUUGUGAACUCUUGGUUCAGUAAAGAGGUAUCAGGUGGCUUGAUACUUCGACGUGUCACACUUCCAAUUCGUUGUUGGUAGUGAAUCUUCGGAUAUUUCGCUUUUCUUUUGAUAAGUACAUUGGCUGCAGACAAUAUACUGUCGAAAGUUAGGAUGAAAUACCCAUUUCCCGUGUGAAACCUUUGGAUUGGGUCGGUGUCUUCCCUAGUUGUUUAUAAGAACGCUUGAGUCUCUGACCUUGUGGCGAGCCUUGGAUUAUUCCUUGGCAGGUUUUUGCACAGUUGACUUAUCGUCACUUCUGAUGGUUUUGACUUUGGUCUGAGUCUAGGUGAUCGUUGGUCCUAUUGUUGUGCCUUCCACAGCUAAGAGUUUCUUGGGUAGUAGUCUCAGUUUGUGUCGUGAGGUUCAGAAUCAGUCGUAGAGGGACUUGAGUCUGGUGGUCGGCUUUGAUUGUCAUCGUAUGUGAUAGAGUAUAAGAUUGUAAUUUGGCUUAUCGUGCAAACCUUAGAAUGUUAUGCUUGUCCAAUUAUUUGGUGAUAGGUGCGCCAGGAUCUCAAUGAGACAAGUAAUCGGGUGUUGCUGGGAACAUCGAUCGCUAGGGUCCAUGGUAGGACGGCAGCGACAGGGUCUUGUGGAGACAGGUGUUGAGCAUCACCGAUGGUUAGUAUCGCAAUUGCGAUUUGCGACCUGUCCAUCAAGUGAUGGACUUGCAAAGAGCAAUUGGUGGUCUGUUGGUACCGGAUUAAGUUUGAGGGGACAAAAUUGUCUAGCUUAAUUGGUAUUGUCAGUUGGAUCUUUUGGUCAGAUGUAAAGUGAGGUCUUGGACCUAGGGCUAUAGAUUGUCGCAGGUGACCUUCCGUUAUUGGAGGUUUUGGCAGUUUGUGUAGUUACUGGUGGGAGACUGUGGUCUCCAAGGUGAGAGUUUUGACUCAGGUCUUAGAACAACGUUUCUUAUUCGCUCGUGGUGAGCAGGUUGACGUUGUUGGAUAGUCGGAGUUUUUUGUUUCAGUCUACUUAAAUAGACUCUAGAUUAAAGUGGUUGUCUCGUGACUUUUCUACGUGAACUUGCGACGUAAUCGAGUCGGCUAUGGCUAUGCGAACCAAGGUAGAGUGGACCUAAAUUUCUGAAUGUUGCUUAAUUAUCUCAGAAUUGGCAAUUUGAGUUCGGAUAAUCCUUCUCGCGGGACUAUUUUUGCCCGCAGGUUAUAGGAUGAUGUUAAUCCCAGUGAGUUUUGGUCCGUAGAUUUUGGGUUGGUAUGUUUAUUCGUCUUGUAAGAGUGGAACCGCAGUCCUUAUCUUCCCUUCUUAGAAGUUUGAUCUAUCCAAAUCCAAAUAUGUAUGAAUGACCAAUACAUUGGUGGAGCAAUGUCUGAUUAUGAUUUCAGUGGGUACGUGGUCAAGUUUCGGGGGUCAAGUUUCGGGGACGAAACUUCUUUUAAGGGGGGGAUAAUGUAAGGCCUGAGAUUUUUACAGUGCAACUAAACUCUCUGUUGACGAUGUUUAUAUGUGUAAUUUAAUUACAUAAGCACUCGUCAAGUUUCAGGAGAAAAUGAGCUAGAAUGGAGAAGUUACGCGAUUAUUAGUUUUCACUUAAGUGAAUAGUAGCUCCGGUUUUUCGAAGAAGCCACGGAGUAGAGUUGGCUUUCGGCGCGUAUCGGACUCCGUUCAUAGCGAUCCAAUAGCUUGUUUCGACCGGUUCAGUUAUUCUGGAACCAAUGACACUGACGGAUUUCAGAUUUGAUGCACGGUUAUCGAGAAAAAGGGGUUUUAUCGAAAAGAGGAUUUUCGCUCUUUGCUGUACUUGCAUAAUGAGACUCCUCGUGCUCUGCGCUUGUGACCUGGGGUUAGGUGAGAGUUGUUUCUGGUACCUACUGGGGGUAGGGAAUUCAAUUUGAAUUUGGAUUAAAGGUUUUAGGGUUUAUACAUAGGUCUAUGUGUAAUUUGUGAGUUAGUUGGAGAACGGAUGGGUUUGGUCGCAAAUCGGCAGGUAAAUCGGAUGAAACGAAAUCGUAGGUUUAUUGUUCCCGUCGUACUGAACGCGAUGGCUCAAUCCAUUCGGAAUUCUGAUGAACGGAUUGCCGGAUAUCGCACGAUGUUCGAAAAGGGGU
rnacentral:lncRNA from 1 species